UCAGCAGCUUCAUGAAUGUCCACUUUCUUCCUCUUCUCUCAAUCUGACUUUCCCAAUAUUCUCUCUUUGCUUUUCUAUCAUCUCUACUCCAAAGAGUUAUUUUAUCUGAUUCCUCAGUUUGAACUUGACGUAUAAACCCUAAGAGUUGAGGCUACUUUUGUUUAGGAUUCAUUGGCAAAGGCGCAUGGGUCAUCAUUGUUUAUGGGUUAUUGUACACCCAAAGGUCUCAAGAUACUGUAUUGAAGUUUGUUACGGGGGAUUGAUGUGGUUCUUAUGCUUGAUCUGUUGAAGAAAUUUGUCAAUGCAGGCAACAAGACUUUGUAGAUGUAACUGACAACGAUGGGAAGAGCUUGGUGCGUUGGAGGUUGCUCCAUAUGAACUUCAUCCUCAUGGUAUUCUGCAAUAUACACCUCUGUCAUUCAUUAAGCCAAAAGGUGUUGAUUGACUAGAUUUAAUGGCUGUGGUUGACUUCUUUAUCAGCAUAUAGCAGAAGUGCCUAAAUUAGUUGGGAUGGAGAAGGGCUAUAGUGUUUUCUUCAUGGUUGAUGAUAUUGAAGCAUAAGUUUAAAGGUCUGCAUAAGAUUAUUAAGGAUGUACUUGAAGAUAAUUAAGGUGUCGUUUCUGAUCGUAUCAGGAUCUUAGUGUUGUUUUAUUAUU